CCUACGGGGGGCAGCAGUGAGGAAUAUUGGUCAAUGGGCGGGAGCCUGAACCAGCCAAGUCGCGUGAGGGAAGACGGUCCUAUGGAUUGUAAACCUCUUUAGGCGGGGAGCAAUGCCGGGCACGUGUGCCCGGAGGGAGAGUACCCGCAGAAUAAGCAUCGGCUAACUCCGGGCCAGCAGCCGCGGUAAUACGGGGGAUGCGAGCGUUAGCCGGAUUUAUGGGGUUAACAGGGUGCAUAGGCGGAGUUUUAAGUCAGCGGUAAAAUGUCCGGGCUAAACAUGGGCCGGCCGUUGAAACUGGGGAUCUUGAGUGGGCGAGAAGUAUGCGGAAUGCGUGGUGUAGCGGUGAAAUGCAUAGAUAUCACGCAGAACUCCGAUUGCGAAGGCAGCAUACCGGCGCCCGACUGACGCUGAGGCACGAAAGCGUGGGGAUCGAACAGGAUUAGAUACCCUAGUAGUC
rnacentral:rRNA from 1 species